rnacentral:lncRNA from 1 species
UGGGGCAUGAAAAAAUUAAAGAGAAAAAAGGUUGGGGUGUGGAGAUACAAUAGACACAAGACUAGGUGCCUAGGUGAGAGCAAAGAGAAGAAGAAGAGGGUCUUCUUCUAGGGUUCCUGUGUUCACCUCUUUCCUUCCUCCAUCUUGAGUUUUUUGAGAGUGUCUCAGAUAUAAAACUCUUUCUUUUUCUUCUCAUCUUUGGAAGAGUCCAAAUCAA